GAUGAACGCUAGCUACAGGCUUAACACAUGCAAGUCGAGGGGAAACGAUAGAGAAAGCUUGCUUUUUCUAGGCGUCGACCGGCGCACGGGUGAGUAACGCGUAUCCAACCUGCCCACCACUUGGGGAUAACCUUGCGAAAGUAAGACUAAUACUCAAUGACGUCCAUAGAAGACAUCUGAAAUGGGUUAAAGAUUUAUCGGUGAUGGAUGGGGAUGCGUCUGAUUAGCUUGUUGGCGGGGUAACGGCCCACCAAGGCGACGAUCAGUAGGGGUUCUGAGAGGAAGGCCCCCCACAUUUGAACUGAGACACGGUCCAAACUCCUACGGGAGGCAGCAGUGAGGAAUAUUGGUCAAUGGGCGAGAGCCUGAACCAGCCAAGUAGCGUGCAGGAUGACGGCCCUAUGGGUUGUAAACUGCUUUUAUAAGGGAAUAAAGUGAGUCUCGUGAGACUUUUUGCAUGUACCUUAUGAAUAAGGACCGGCUAAUUCCGUGCCAGCAGCCGCCGUAA
rnacentral:rRNA from 1 species